CCUAGAAGAAAGAUUGGUGAUCGAUUCGCUUUGUAAAUAAAUAGCAACACAAUUUUAUUUGUGCUACUGGUCGCUUUAAUGGUGUGUAUCGUGAAAUCGAGGGUCAAGUAUACUCGAGGACGAUCGAUAGGUAACUGCUUGACAAACAAUAUUUCAGGAGUAUUAACGUUUCGCGAAUGACAUGUAGACUAAUCGAACGAUACAAUGAAGCUCGAACAAUAAUUACAGUCGAAACAGGAAAAGUUCUACAUAUGUAUUUACGUCAGACAUUUAUCAAAUGGUCAUGAACGAGAUCAUGAAACAAACUUGAGAAUAAGAACAAGGGACGAAGAAAUAGAAA